CAUCACAGCUUUCAUGACAUCCCUGAUGGCUUAGACACACCUUUGGAAAUGGCAAGCUGGACUGCCUUCUGUAGAGAAGCUACUGGGUGGCACAGGUCACCCUGCCGCAGAGGAGACAGGUUGCCGACUCACCUAUCUAGUUAAUGACUUGCCUCUGGCACCCUGGUCCUUCUGCUAGAGCCUGGUCACUCCCUGUCCCCAGGGCUGGCGCGCUGUCCUGUUCUCCGGGGAUGGCUCUGAGGCCUCUCUUAGCACACUGGACUCCUCCUGGCUGUCCUAUUUAAAUCCUCCAGCUUAGCCCUGCUGUCUGGUUCAUGGUUACAAGAUGGGAAAUGUAUUUUGUCGUCCAAGAAAAUCAGUUAAAAUCCCUGGAGAGCUAGAUGCCACUACCAGCAAAUUUCAAUAAGAGAAGGGGGGGGGAAAUGGCAAAAUCCCUGGAAAAAGUAGAGAGAUUUACAGGAUUCUAGAAAUCGAAUUAUUGAGCCUACACUACUCCUUAAGCAAAGGCAAACAGGUUGUGUGAUGCUGGUUUAUUUUUUCCCCAUUUCUCAAACUGGCAGUUCCAGAUUUGGUAGCAUCGUUGUGCAGCGAAGGAUCAUUUUGGGGACCCUGGCAUACAAAAAGCCAUGGCUGUUUUCCUAUCGAAGCAGAGACCUCCAGAGAAGGUUCUAUCCUAGAAGCGUAACUUCUAGGAUAAGCUUCUCAGAAGAAAAUGCUUAUUCUCUCAGCUGAACCUGCAAGUCGCAUUCUGAAUGCGGUUGAAUAAAGUUCGGGAAUUCAUUAAGUAAUACAAUUUUUUAUUUUCUGUGUUCAGUUUCCAAGAGUUGAAGCAGGAAUAAGCGGGAUUUUGGGAGGUGUCAGAAAAAAAGUAACAGGGCAAGGAGAUAAAGGACACAACUCUUAAUCGUGUCUUGAGGAUACCAUUCAACACCACCAUUAUUCAUUUCAGUCAAGAGGCCACUCGACAUCUGCAACCUGAAAAAGCGAACCA